rnacentral:rRNA from 1 species
UACAGAGGUGGCAAGCGUUGUUCGGAAUUACUGGGCGUAAAGGGCGCGUAGGCGGUCUUGUAAGUCCCGCGUGAAAUCCCCCGGCUCAACUGGGGAACUGCGCGGGAAACUGCAAGGCUUGAGUUCGGGAGAGGGAAGCGGAAUUCCGGGUGUAGCGGUGAAAUGCGUAGAUAUCCGGAGGAACACCGGUGGCGAAGGCGGCUUCCUGGACCGACACUGACGCUGAGGCGCGAAAGCUAGGGGAGCAAACGGGAUUAGAAACCCCUGUAGUCC